GAUGAACGCUGGCGGCGUGCCUAAUACAUGCAAGUCGAGCGAACGGACGAGAAGCUUGCUUCUCUGAUGUUAGCGGCGGACGGGUGAGUAACACGUGGAUAACCUACCUAUAAGACUGGGAUAAAUUCGGGAAACCGGAGCUAAUACCGGAUAAUAUUUUGAACCGCAUGGUUCAAAAGUGAAAGACGGUCUUGCUGUCACUUAUAGAUGGAUCCGCGCUGCAUUAGCUAGUUGGUAAGGUAACGGCUUACCAAGGCAACGAUGCAUAGCCGACCUGAGAGGGUGAUCAGCCACACUGGAACUGAGACACGGUCCAGACUCCUACGGGAGGCAGCAGUAGGGAAUCUUCCGCAAUGGGCGAAAGCCUGACGGAGCAACGCCGCGUGAGUGAUGAAGGUCUUCGGAUCGUAAAACUCUGUUAUUAGGGAAGAACAUAUGUGUAAGUAACUGUGCACAUCUUGACGGUACCUAAUCAGAAAGCCACGGCUAACUACGUG
rnacentral:rRNA from 1 species